rnacentral:rRNA from 1 species
AAUGAACGCUGGCGGCAGGCCUAACACAUGCAAGUCGAGCGAGCAUUUCGGUGCUAGCGGCGGACGGGUGAGUAACGCGUCGGAACGUGCCCUUUUCUGCGGAAUAGUCCUGGGAAACUGGGGGUAAUACCGCAUACGCCCUUUUGGGGAAAGAUUUAUCGGAGAAGGAUCGGCCCGCGUUGGAUUAGGUAGUUGGUGGGGUAAUGGCCCACCAAGCCGACGAUCCAUAGCUGGUUUGAGAGGAUGAUCAGCCACACUGGGACUGAGACACGGCCCAGACUCCUACGGGAGGCAGCAGUGGGGAAUCUUAGACAAUGGGGGCAACCCUGAUCUAGCCAUGCCGCGUGAGUGAUGAAGGCCUUAGGGUUGUAAAGCUCUUUCAGCUGGGAAGAUAAUGACGGUACCAGCAGAAGAAGCCCCGGCUAACUCCGUG